rnacentral:rRNA from 1 species
GUCGAACGCUGGCGGCGUGCCUAAUACAUGCAAGUCGAACGAGUGGCGGACGGGUGAGUAAUGUCUGGGAAACUGCCCGAUGGAGGGGGAUAACUACUGGAAACGGUAGCUAAUACCGCAUACCAUCGGAUCUGCCCAGAUGGGAUUAGCUAGUAGGUGGGGUAACGGCUCACCUAGGCGCCGAUCCCUAGCUGGUCUGAGAGGAUGACCAGCCACACUGGAACUGAGGCACGGUCCAGACUCCUACGGGAGGCAGCAGGGGGGAAUAUUGCACAAUGGGCGCAAGCCUGAUGCAGCCAUGCCGCGUGUAUGAAGAAGGCCUUCGGGUUGUAAAGUACUUUCAGCGAGGAGGCGAUCCUCGCAGAAGGAGCACCGGCUAACUCCGGGCCAGCAGCCGCGGUAAUUC